rnacentral:sRNA from 1 species
GUUUGCACUUGUCGGGGAAGGGUGAGAACCUUCGAUUAAGGUUCGACUCGAGCGAAGUGAGAGAACGUUGCCAACGGCAACGGCCCGUAGGGUGAGGAGCGAAGCGACGAAUAAUCCUUCCCCCUCCACCA